UACGUAGGGUGCGAGCGUUGUCCGGAAUUACUGGGCGUAAAGCGUGCGCAGGCGGUUAUUUAAGUCAGGUGUGAAAGCCCUGGGCUUAACCUAGGAAUUGCGCUUGAGACUGGAUAGCUUGGAGUGCGGCAGAGGGAGGUGGAAUUCCACGUGUAGCAGUGAAAUGCGUAGAGAUGUGGAGGAACACCGAUGGCGAAAGGCAGCCCUCCGUGGGCCAGCACUGACGCUCAUGCACGAAAGCGUGGGGAGCAAACAGG
rnacentral:rRNA from 1 species